UACAUAGGUCUCAAGCGUUGUUCGGAUUCAUUGGGCGUAAAGGGUGUGUAGGUGGCGCGCUAAGUCGGGUGUGAAAUUUCGGAGCUUAACUCCGAAACUGCAUUCGAUACUGGCGUGCUUGAGGACUGGAGAGGAGACUGGAAUUCAUGGUGUAGCAGUGAAAUGCGUAGAGAUCAUGAGGAAGACCAGUGGCGAAGGCGGGUCUCUGGACAGUUCCUGACACUGAGACACGAAGGCCAGGGGAGCAAACGGG
rnacentral:rRNA from 1 species